rnacentral:rRNA from 1 species
GACGUAGGGCGCGAGCGUUGUCCGGAUUUAUUGGGCGUAAAGAGCUCGUAGGCGGCUUGUCGCGUCGACUGUGAAAACCCGCGGCUCAACUGCGGCUGCAGCUGAUACGGGCAGGCUAGAGUUCGGUAGGGGAGACUGGAAUUCCUGGUGUAGCGGUGAAAUGCGCAGAUAUCAGGAGGAACACCGGUGGCGAAGGCGGGUCUCUGGGCCGAUACUGACGCUGAGGAGCGAAAGCGUGGGGAGCGAACAGG